rnacentral:rRNA from 1 species
GACGAACGCUGGCGGCGUGCUUAACACAUGCAAGUCGAACGGAAAGGCCCUGCUUUUGUGGGGUGCUCGAGUGGCGAACGGGUGAGUAACACGUGAGUAACCUGCCCUUGACUUUGGGAUAACUUCAGGAAACUGGGGCUAAUACCGGAUAGGAGCUCCUGCUGCAUGGUGGGGGUUGGAAAGUUUCGGCGGUUGGGGAUGGACUCGCGGCUUAUCAGCUUGUUGGUGGGGUAGUGGCUUACCAAGGCUUUGACGGGUAGCCGGCCUGAGAGGGUGACCGGCCACAUUGGGACUGAGAUACGACCCAGACUCCUACUGGAGGCAGCAGUGCAGAAUAUUUCACAAUGGGCGGAAGCCUGAUGCAGCAACGCCGCGUGCGGGAUGACGGCCUUCGGGUUGUAAACCGCUUUCGCCUGUGACGAAGCGUGAGUGACGGUAAUGGGUAAAGAAGCACCGGCUAACUACGUG